UUAAGUUAGACAUGCAUGACUAACUUGUGCAAUUUUGCUUUCUUUGUUUCUUUCUUCUUGGAAACUUAAAAUACCUAAUAAAAGAAGCACCAUGAUUUAUACGUACUGAUUGUCUUAUAGGAGGCGUGAAGAAGGGGUGCGACCUUUUUGGCUGCGCCAUAGUUUGGUAGAAGACAACGUUUGAAUAAAAUAAAAUUAUAAUCAUCAGAUUUUGGUGCGCAGUAAAACACCAAAAAAGAGUAACAAAAAAAUGUACCGUUGGAUCAUAAUUCUUGUGCUCCUGGAGUUUGUAAUGUCCAAAAAGAAUUGUAAGCCAGAGAUUCCUCCUGGAUUGCACGACCAUCUGAAAAUCAAAAACUUUAUACUUGGAGGUAGUAUGAGUUUGAAACAAAAUCCUUAUAUUUCUACGCGUUUAGUUUCAAAGAAGAAAGAAAGUCUUCCGUGUAAACUCUGGAGUGUGGAGUGCAUUUAGCAAUGGUAUUAAUGAUCAAAAUUAUUUAAAACACAUUUUGCGAAUAAAGAUCUUCAAUGCAUUUCAUAUAACACUAAUAAAAACAUUACAAAUAUAAUGUUAUUUGCAUAGUAUUUCUUUCAGUAGUUGUAUGUUUGUGUACUAAAACCUAAUAUAUAUGCUUUUAAAUUUUUUUUUCUUGGGAUUAAAGAAAUCAGUUCUUUCAUAAACUUAUUUCAAGCACUAAAUUUCCAGCUUUCUGAACUUUUUUUUUUCUCUUAAGCUUGAAUUUUAUACCAGUUUUUUAAAAAAAUCAACAAAACUUAUUUAUGAAUCCAUAUUAUAUCUGUAAAAAUCAUGAGUUUUCUAUUGUACUUUCAAAUGAAUGUUUAUUUAUGUGAUUAUUAGUGAA